rnacentral:rRNA from 1 species
UACGGGAGGCAGCGAGGGGGAAUAUUGCACAAUGGGCGCAAGCCUGAUGCAGCCAUGCCGCGUGUAUGAAGAAGGCCUUCGGGUUGUAAAGUACUUUCAGUCGUGAGGAAGGUGUUAAGGUUAAUAACCUUAGCAAUUGACGUUAGCGACAGAAGAAGCACCGGCUAACUCCGUGCCAGCAGCCGCGGUAAUACGGAGGGUGCGAGCGUUAAUCGGAAUUACUGGGCGUAAAGGGCACGCAGGCGGUUAAUUAAGUUGGAUGUGAAAUCCCCGGGCUUAACCUGGGAAUGGCAUUCAAGACUGGUUAGCUAGAGUCUUGUAGAGGGGGUAGAAUUCCAUGUGUAGCGGUGAAAUGCGUAGAGAUGUGGAGGAAUACCGGUGGCGAAGGCGGCCCCCUGGACAAAGACUGACGCUCAUGUGCGAAAGCUGGGGAGCAAAC